rnacentral:lncRNA from 1 species
GCUGAAGUCAGUAUGAGGGUGGGACUUCUUCCUCAUCACAGGAAGUAGAUGCUGCGAUUACUUUUCAGAAGUGUCAGUGUGAGACCGAGAGAGAAACACGAUGGUCGAGUUCAGGUGGAUUACAUUUUCUUUAUUUCUGAUGCUGGUGGUCAGUUUGACAGCAGUAACAGGGAAGUACCCCUCCGUCGCUGUUGGAGUCGGAGAUGAAGUAAGUUUGUCUUGUGAAAAUGUGAAACACGAUCAGGAGAGGUGCAACAGCACUACCUGGAUCUUCUUUGGUUCAACAAAGGCAGUACGGCUGUUUGAUCAUGGGCAGAUUCACAAAGAAGCCCAAACUAAAUCAGACAGACUGAGUGUUAGAGAGAACUGUUCUCUGGUCAUCAUAGACAUCUCCAUCGAAGACGGCUGUGACUAGGCAUGGGCCGGUAUGAGAUUCUGACGGUAUGAUAACCUUAGGCAAAAAUAUCACGGUUUCACGGUAUUAUGAUUAUAGCUGUAAAAUGUGUAUUUUGAAUGUCUGUAUUUAAAAACAAAAAAAGGAAAAAACUCUAAGCAUGCUAGUUACCAUAUCUGCCUCAGUAAAAAAAGAAAAAAGUUACUAUCAUAGAGAUAAAGAAAAGAUAAGAUAUGGUAACUACCAUCUGCCUCAGUAACAAGCUCAUUUCACUUAUGUCAGACGCUAAUACGCUCAUUCAUUUCAAGACAACCUUAACUUUACCUUUUCUCUCACAGUAUCUCCAUCUUCACCAGUGACUGAACAUCAGGAGGCUGAUGAUUGGACUUUAAACUGCUCUGUGUCAUAUCAUGGAUGGUGUAGACACACAGUGAAGUGGCUGUAUGUAGGUAAAGAGGUGGCUGAAGAUGAAGACAUGACGACAUCACAGACUAACUUCUCAGCUGCUGUGACGUUUCAUGAUCUCAAGAAGUCAAAGCAUCACGAGUCCUUUGAGUGUGAAGUGACAGAAAUUUUCACUGGAAAAGUUCAGCAGUUUACCUUCAGCCGUCAGUCCUCAGGAGAGAAAACAGGUGAGCUGAAGGUGAGAACAACCACAGAUGAAACUGUUGUGAAAAGGAAUGAACUCAUUAAAAUCACUUCAAAAUAUUUAACUUUUUUUUUUUUUUUUAAUGUUUGUUUAGAUCUCAGGUUUUAAUCUUACAUCAUUCUUUGUCAUUCAUUUGAUGCAGAUAAAUUAUUGUUUGUUCUAACUAAAUAGUUUGUUGCAAUUUGUGUUCAUUAAGGUGAUGAUGCACAAACCACAAUGUAUACAACAACCACAGUGUCAACAACAGGUAAUACAUGUUAGUGUUGUAGUACUCGAGUCCGGUCUUGGACUCAAGACCGGUCUUGAGACCAUUUUUUGCUUACUCGGUCUCGUCUCGGUCUCCAAAGCAAAAAUACUCGGAGGCGUUCAAUGACACAAAAUAAGAAAAAUUCAUAAUUCCCCUCAAGGAUCAAAUUA